rnacentral:rRNA from 1 species
AACGCGAAGAACCUUACCUGGCCUUGACAUCCAGAGAACUUAGCAGAGAUGCUUUGGUGCCUUCGGGAACUCUGAGACAGGUGCUGCAUGGCUGUCGUCAGCUCGUGUUGUGAAAUGUUGGGUUAAGUCCCGCAACGAGCGCAACCCUUAUCCUUUGUUGCCAGCGGCUCGGCCGGGAACUCAAAGGAGACUGCCGGUGAUAAACCGGAGGAAGGUGGGGAUGACGUCAAGUCAUCAUGGCCCUUACGGCCAGGGCUACACACGUGCUACAAUGGCGCAUACAAAGAGAAGCGACCUCGCGAGAGCAAGCGGACCUCAUAAAGUGCGUCGUAGUCCGGAUUGGAGUCUGCAACUCGACUCCAUGAAGCCGGAAUCGCUAGUAAUCGUAGAUCAGAAUGCUACGGUGAAUACGUUCCC